CCGAAGAAACUUUUAUCCUUGUGGAAGAGUUGACUUGGCCAAACUAAGCCCUAGACAUAAGUGCUUAUGCAAUAAAAGUUGGCUUAACCUGUAGGUAGUGCCGCAAUCACUGUAGUUGUGUUCUUCGCAAUUUUCUCUGCACAAGAUAUUCAUUCCCCCCAAAACCAACCGUUCAAUUCAGUUCUCCUUUUUCAUCUACCUGUAUUUUCUUCCUUUCUUCCUUCAUUCAUUUCUCUUUCUGAAAUCUUGAUUGGGACUAUCCCUUUGGUUCUUAAUGGGAAAGCCCUCAGGGAAGAAGAAGGGUAUCGCUACUCCGGCUACUGCAAAUUCACAUGCCAAACCUGCCAAGUCCUCCAAGGCUUUCGAUGAAGAUACAGCAAUGUUCAUUAACAUGUCACAAGAGUUCAGAGAAGAAGGUAACAAGUUGUUUCAGAAGAAGGAUCACGAAGGCGCCAUGCUCAAGUACGAGAAGGCACUGAAGCUGCUUCCGAAGAACCACAUAGAUGUCGCACACCUUCAUACCAACAUGGCCACGUGUUACAUGCAAUUGGGUCUCGGGGAAUACCCUCGAGCCAUUCACGAAUGCAAUUUGGCGCUGGAAGUGUCUCCAAGGUACAGCAAAGCUCUUCUGAAAAGAGCCACAUGCUAUCGUGAGCUUAAUCGCUUGGAUUUGGCGCUAAGGGAUGUUAAUCUUGUUUUGAGCAUGGAGCCAAAUAACCUCACCGCUUUGGAGCUUCUCGAGAGUCUCACGAAGUCAACGGAAGAAAAGGGGGUCCCUGUUGAUGAUAAAAGGGUGGCUUUUGAUACCACCGUUUAUCAUUCUCCUUCUCCUUCUUCGCAAAAACUGAAGAAGAAGAGAGGUAAAAAAAUUGAGGACAAAGUGGUUGUGGAGGAAAAGCUGGGUGUGAUUGUUGAGGAUAAAAAGGUGGUUUCCAAACGAAUUGGGCAAGAAGGCAAGGCGGUUUCCAAAACAAUAGGGCAAGAAGGCAAGGUGGUUUCAAAAACAAUUGAGCAAGUAAAAGAGUUGGAUUCAAAAACAAUUGAGCAAGAAAAAAAGGUGGUGGAAAUCAAACCUGUGGAGGAAGAAAAAACUGUCACGAUCACAAGGAGCGUGAAGUUGGUGUUUGGAGAAGAUAUAAGGUGGGCUCAGUUACCCGUGAAUUGUAGCGCGAAGUUGGUGAGGGAUAUAGCCAGGAAUCGGUUUCCAGGUUUGAAGGGAGUUCUUGUCAAGUAUAAGGAUAAAGAAGGUGAUUUGGUUACUAUCACUACUACAGAUGAACUAAGGUUAGCUGAAAAGUCUGCUCCUGAGAAGGCAUCGUUUAGGCUUUAUAUUACUGAGGUCAGUCCAGAUCAAGAACCUUCUUAUGAUGGAACAACAACCUAUGGGAAUGAAGUGCAAAGGGAUGGUGAAAAUCAAAAUGAUGGUGUUGAGAAUAGGGGUACGGAAGAAGGCAGAGAUGAAGAUGCUGCAAAAAGGAUGAUUACUGUGGAGGACUGGCUUCUCCAGUUUGCAAGGCUGUUCAAGAACCAUGUAGGGUUUGAGUCUGAUUCUUAUCUAGACACUCAUGAGUUUGCAAUGAAGCUGUACGGAGAAGCGAUGGAAGAUACGGUAGCAAGCAAUGAUGCUCAAGAACUUUUUGGAAUUGCUGCUGAUAAAUUUCAAGAGAUGGCUGCCUUGGCACUGUUUAACUGGGGAAGUGUUCAGAUGUCCAGGGCAAGGAACCAAGGUUUCUUUUCGGAGGAUGGGGCUAGAGAAUCUUCCUUGGAGCAUAUAAAAGCUGCAUAUGAGUUGGCACGAAAGGAGUACGAGAAAGCAGAAUUGAGAUAUGAAGAAGCCUUGAAAAUCAAACCUGACUUCUACGAAGGAUAUCUUGCUCUUGGGCAUCAGCAGUUUGAGCAAGCAAGGCUGUGCUGGUGUUAUGCAUUGGCAUGCAAGGACUCAAAUGCUGGCUUUUCUGAGGAGGUUCUACAACUUUAUAACAAGGCAGAGGAUAGCAUGGAGAAAGGCAUCUUGAUGUGGGAGGAGGUUGAGGAGCAGCGUUUGAAUGGAAUAUCCAAAUCAGAUAAAUAUAAAGAACAGUUAGAGAAAAUGGGCUUGGAUGAUCUUUUCAAAGAUGUUUCUGAUGAUGAAGCUUCAAAGCAAGCUGCAAAGAUGAGAUCUCAGAUACACCUUCUAUGGGGAACCUUGUUGUAUGAACGUUCUGUUGUGGAAUAUAAGCUUGGCCUUCCCACAUGGGAGGAAUGUUUGGAGGUUGCUGUUGAAAAAUUUGAACUAGCUGGAACUUCUGGAACAGAUAUUGCUUUCAUUGUAAAGAAUCACUGCUCAAAUGAAACAGCGCUUGAAGGGUUCAAAAUUGAAGAGAUAGUACAGGCAUGGAAUGAGAUGUACGAUGCUCAGGGGUGGCAGUUUGGUGAUCCAUCAUUUCGACUUGAACCAUUGUUUCGUCGGCGUGUUCCUAAACUCCAUUCCAUAUUGGAGCAGUUUUAAGUUUUCUUCUUUAGUUAAAAAUUCUUCAGAGGCAUGAUUUCUUUUGUCUUGGUAUUUUUGAAGCUGUCUUCAUCCCCUGCUAAGACGGGGAUUUUUGUUCUGCAUAUUUAGCUCAUGUUCGGUGCUAUGAUUGGAUUAUUUUUUCUGAUGCCAGUGUUAUACUAGUUGGGAUUUGAGACUAGAAAAGCUGGUUAUAUAUAUUUAUUUUGUUUUUAUACUUGAAGAGAUUUGCUGGAGGGUUUCAUUCUUUAAGGUGUACCAGUAUAUUGGAUGAUUUGAUUUGUUCAGCUUGCACCAAAAAUAUAUACACAUACAGAUUUUUUUCAUAGGUAAAGGCUUGUGAUUAAUAUUGUAAUGUGUCCUUGGUGAGUGAUUAAGUGGUGGAAUGUAACAAUUUAUGGAUGUCAAGUACCACAUUAUAUUAUUCAUUUUUAUC